UUUCUAGUAUAAGUAUGUUCUGUGCAAUAUCUGGAACAUACUUACACUGAAA
rnacentral:pre_miRNA from 1 species